rnacentral:rRNA from 1 species
UACGGAGGGUGCGAGCGUUGUCCGGAAUCACUGGGCGUAAAAGGCGCGUAGGCGGCCUGAUAAGUAGGGGGUGAAAUCCUGCGGCUUAACCGCAGGGCUGCCUUCUAAACUGUCGGGCUAGAGCACGGUAGAGGCAGAUGGAAUUCCCGGUGUAGCGGUGGAAUGCGUAGAGAUCGGGAAGAACAUCAGUGGCGAAGGCGGUCUGCUGGGCCGUUGCUGACGCUGAGGCGCGACAGCGUGGGGAGCAACAGG